rnacentral:rRNA from 1 species
CCUACGGGGGGCAGCAGUGGGGAAUAUUGGACAAUGGGGGGAACCCUGAUCCAGCCAUGCCGCGUGUGCGAAGAAGGCCCUCGGGUUGUAAAGCACUUUCAGUGAGGAAGAACGCCUGGUGGUUAAUACCCAUCAGGAAAGACAUCACUCACAGAAGAAGCACCGGCUAACUCCGUGCCAGCAGCCGCGGUAAUACGGAGGGUGCGAGCGUUAAUCGGAAUUACUGGGCGUAAAGCGCGCGUAGGUGGCUUGAUAAGCCGGUUGUGAAAGCCCCGGGCUCAACCUGGGAACGGCAUCCGGAACUGUCAAGCUAGAGUGCAGGAGAGGAAGGUAGAAUUCCCGGUGUAGCGGUGAAAUGCGUAGAGAUCGGGAGGAAUACCAGUGGCGAAGGCGGCCUUCUGGACUGACACUGACACUGAGGUGCGAAAGCGUGGGUAGCAAACAGGAUUAGAUACCCUGGUAGUC